AUUGAACGCUAGCGGCAGGCCUAACACAUGCAAGUCGAACGAGUGGCGGACGGGUGAGUAAUGUCACGGAAACUGCCCAAUAGCGGGGGAUAACUACUCGAAACGGUAGCUAAUACCGCAUACUAUUGGAUCGGCCGAUAUGGGAUUAGCUAGUGGGUGGGGUAAAGGCUCACCAAGGCAACGAUCCCUAGCUGGUGUGAGAGGACGACCAGCCACACUGGAACUGAGACCCGGUCCAGACUCCUACGGGAGGCAGCAGUGGGGAAUUUUGCAAAAUGGGGGCAACCCUGAUGCAGCCAUGCCGCGUGUAUGAUGAAGGCCUUCGGGUUGUAAAGUACUUUUGGCAGGGAGGCGUUACUCGCAGAAUAAGCACCGGCUAACUCCGUGCCAGCAGCCGCGGUAAUUC
rnacentral:rRNA from 1 species